rnacentral:rRNA from 1 species
CUCAACUGUGGGAUCGCGCUGAGAACUGUAUAGCUUGGGUUCUGGAGGGGGAGCUGGAAUUCCAGGUGUAGGGGUGAAAUCUGUAGAUAUCUGGAAGAACACCGGCGGCGAAGGCGAGCUCCUGGCCAUGAACUGACGCCGAGGCACGAAAGCGUGGGGAGCGAACAGGAUUAGAUACCCUGGUAGUCCACGCUGUAAACGAUGUGCACUGGGUGGUGGUCCGUUGAAGGCUCACUGCCGUAGCUAACGCGUUAAGUGCACCGCCUGGGGAGUAUGCCCGCAAGGGUGAAACUCAAAGGAAUUGACAGGGGCCCGCACAAGCGGUGGAGCAUGUGGUUUAAUUCUAUGAUACGCGAGGAACCUUACCAGGGCUUGACAUCAGCAGGAAGUCGCAGGAGACUGCGGCGCCCUUCCGGGUCU